GACGAACGCUGGCGGCGUGCCUAAUACAUGCAAGUCGAACGAACUCUGGUAUUGAUUGGUGCUUGCAUCAUGAUUUACAUUUGAGUGAGUGGCGAACUGGUGAGUAACACGUGGGAAACCUGCCCAGAAGCGGGGGAUAACACCUGGAAACAGAUGCUAAUACCGCAUAACAACUUGGACCGCAUGGUCCGAGCUUGAAAGAUGGCUUCGGCUAUCACUUUUGGAUGGUCCCGCGGCGUAUUAGCUAGAUGGUGGGGUAAUGGCUCACCAUGGCAAUGAUACGUAGCCGACCUGAGAGGGUAAUCGGCCACAUUGGGACUGAGACACGGCCCAAACUCCUACGGGAGGCAGCAGUAGGGAAUCUUCCACAAUGGACGAAAGUCUGAUGGAGCAACGCCGCGUGAGUGAAGAAGGGUUUCGGCUCGUAAAACUCUGUUGUUAAAGAAGAACAUAUCUGAGAGUAACUGUUCAGGUAUUGACGGUAUUUAACCAGAAAGCCACGGCUAACUACGUGCCAGCAGCCGCGGUAAUACGUAGGUGGCAAGCGUUGUCCGGAUUUAUUGGGCGUAAAGCGAGCGCAGGCGGUUUUUUAAGUCUGAUGUGAAAGCCUUCGGCUCAACCGAAGAAGUGCAUCGGAAACUGGGAAACUUGAGUGCAGAAGAGGACAGUGGAACUCCAUGUGUAGCGGUGAAAUGCGUAGAUAUAUGGAAGAACACCAGUGGCGAAGGCGGCUGUCUGGUCUGUAACUGACGCUGAGGCUCGAAAGUAUGGGUAGCAAACAGGAUUAGAUACCCUGGUAGUCCAUACCGUAAACGAUGAAUGCUAAGUGUUGGAGGGUUUCCGCCCUUCAGUGCUGCAGCUAACGCAUUAAGCAUUCCGCCUGGGGAGUACGGCCGCAAGGCUGAAACUCAAAGGAAUUGACGGGGGCCCGCACAAGCGGUGGAGCAUGUGGUUUAAUUCGAAGCUACGCGAAGAACCUUACCAGGUCUUGACAUACUAUGCAAAUCUAAGAGAUUAGACGUUCCCUUCGGGGACAUGGAUACAGGUGGUGCAUGGUUGUCGUCAGCUCGUGUCGUGAGAUGUUGGGUUAAGUCCCGCAACGAGCGCAACCCUUAUUAUCAGUUGCCAGCAUUAAGUUGGGCACUCUGGUGAGACUGCCGGUGACAAACCGGAGGAAGGUGGGGAUGACGUCAAAUCAUCAUGCCCCUUAUGACCUGGGCUACACACGUGCUACAAUGGAUGGUACAACGAGUUGCGAACUCGCGAGAGUAAGCUAAUCUCUUAAAGCCAUUCUCAGUUCGGAUUGUAGGCUGCAACUCGCCUACAUGAAGUCGGAAUCGCUAGUAAUCGCGGAUCAGCAUGCCGCGGUGAAUACGUUCCCGGGCCCUGUACACACCGCCCGUCACACCAUGAGAGUUUGUAACACCCAAAGUCGGUGGGGUAACCUUUUAGGAACCAGCCGCCUAAGGUGGGACAGAUGAUUAGGGUG
rnacentral:rRNA from 1 species